GGAAUAUUGGACAAUGGGGGCAACCCUGAUCCAGCAAUGCCGCGUGAGUGAAGAAGGCCUUAGGGUUGUAAAGCACUUUAGUCAGGGAAGAAAAAGCUCAAGCUAAUAUCUUGAGUGUUGACGGUACCUGAAGAAUAAGCACCGGCUAACUCUGUGCCAGCAGCCGCGGUAAUACAGAGGGUGCGAGCGUUAAUCGGAUUUACUGGGCGUAAAGCGUGUGUAGGUGGCUGUUCAAGUCGGUUGUGAAAUCCCCGGGCUCAACCUGGGAAUUGCUUCCGAGACUGAGCGGCUAGAGUACGGUAGAGGGCGGUGGAAUUUCCGGUGUAGCGGUGAAAUGCGUAGAUAUCAGAAGGAACACCAAUGGCGAAGGCAGCCGCCUGGGCCUGUACUGACACUGAGACACGAAAGCGUGGGGAUCAAGC
rnacentral:rRNA from 1 species